rnacentral:rRNA from 1 species
AGUCGAACGGUAGCACAGAGAGCUUGCUCUCGGGUGACGAGUGGCGGACGGGUGAGUAAUGUCUGGGAAACUGCCUGAUGGAGGGGGAUAACUACUGGAAACGGUAGCUAAUACCGCAUAACGUCGCAAGACCAAAGAGGGGGACCUUCGGGCCUCUUGCCAUCAGAUGUGCCCAGAUGGGAUUAACUAGUAGGUGGGGUAACGGCUCACCUAGGCGACGAUCCCUAGCUGGUCUGAGAGGAUGACCAGCCACACUGGAACUGAGACACGGUCCAGACUCCUACGGGAGGCAGCAGUGGGGAAUAUUGCACAAUGGGCGCAAGCCUGAUGCAGCCAUGCCGCGUGUAUGAAGAAGGCCUUCGGGUUGUAAAGUACUUUCAGCGGGGAGGAAGGUGUUGUGGUUAAUAACCGCAGCAAUUGACGUUACCCGCAGAAGAAGCACCGGCUAACUCCGUGCCAGCAGCCGCGGUAAUACGGAGGGUGCAAGCGUUAAUCGGAAUUACUGGGCGUAAAGCGCACGCAGGCGGUCUGUCAAGUCGGAUGUGAAAUCCCCGGGCUCAACCUGGGAACUGCAUUCGAAACUGGCAGGCUAGAGUCUUGUAGAGGGGGGUAGAAUUCCAGGUGUAGCGGUGAAAUGCGUAGAGAUCUGGAGGAAUACCGGUGGCGAAGGCGGCCCCCUGGACAAAGACUGACGCUCAGGU